UCAUUGCAGUUUGUCAGAUAAUGGGGGUGGGUCCCACAGUAAAACAUUUAGUCAAAAGAACAUAACCUAACACACACUCAACUGACAACGAAAUAAACAUAUAUGUGUUAAAACAAUAACACAUGAUGCUGAGCACCGCUAGACUGAAAGGAUGGUAGCGGUAACUUAGAUACUGCUCUCCCCUCGCAGCACCAAAGGAGCUCUCACAGCUCAGAAAGGCAAUAGGCGUGUAGCAGUGGGGAGACAACUCUGAGCAUGACGGACAGAUGUACGUUUCCACAGCUUGACCUAGUCCUGGAGCAUCAUCAGGGGUAGCAGAGUUUGAUCAGUGAAAGCAAAGAUAGACUUGGUUGGACCAGUGCAAGCAAGUCUGCAACCCAGCUGGGUCCAUCCAGAUUCACUCCCCUCACUCCCUCACUCUCCGACAGCAAAUGAUCUGCUCUGCCAUGAGCAUCCUUCACAAUGCUGCAGUCAUGUGGUGUUUUUUCGUGUUGCUAGCUGGAGGUGACGUGGGGGAGAGAGCCGCAGCCAUGGGGUUGAGGAGAAUGAGGAAGUGAGGGAGUGAGUUAGAGUAAGUAAGUGAGUGAGUAUUUUCUUCGUUUCUGACAUGGCCUUUGGAAGCUUCCACGUGCAGAAAUGGGGUCGUUCUCUGACACUUGAACGUGCCGUUUCUGUGUCUGAUUCUGCUCAUUUUUUACAAUGUUUUUGUGAACUGAGGUUUGGAGUUGGUGGCUUGGAAUAGCAGGUGGGGAGAUGAGUUGGAGAAAUGGAUAAGUGAAAAAUAGUUCCAAGAAUGUUGCAUUUCAAGCUCGAAAUAACUGCGAAAAAAGUGUUCACUUUUUUUUAUUUUAAGAGGAACAGGAAGCUGAGGCUGCAAGAAAUUUUUUUGGAUUCUUUCUUUUAUUUAGCUCUUGUGUUGAAUGUUGUUCUUGUUGGAGCCCUGUUUUGGAUUUUUUUUGGUUUUGUUUUUAUUUUUAAUUUUAAUUUGGAGACGCUAUAGAAUGUCAAACA